AUUGAACGCUGGCGGCAGGCCUAACACAUGCAAGUCGAGCGAGCGGCGGACAGGUUAGUAAUGUCUGGCACACUGCCUCCUAGCGGGGGCUCACUACUGGAAACAGUAGCUAAUACCGCCACCCAUCCGAUGUGCCCACAUGGGAUUAGCUAGUAGGUGGGGUAACGGCUCACCUAGGCGACGCUCCCUAGCUGGUCUGAGAGGAUGACCAGCCACACUGGAACUGAGACACGGUCCAGACUCCUACGGGAGGCAGCAGUGGGGAAUAUUGCACAAUGGGCGCAAGCCUGAGGCAGCCAUGCCGCGUGUGUGAAGAAGGCCUUCGGGUUGUAAAGCACUGUCAGCGGGGAGGCGUUACCCGCAGAAGAAGCACCGGCUAACUCCGUGCCAGCAGCCGCGGUAAUAC
rnacentral:rRNA from 1 species